CCUUAAUUCACUGAUCUGAUUUUGUUUCUUAUUUUGCUUCCAAGCAUUUGUGUUUCAUCUACCGAAGCUUUGUGGGCUACAUUCGAGCUUUCUGGGCAUUCAUGUUCUAAGCUUUCUGGGCAUUCUGCAUAUCUGUUAAUGAAUCGAGCGUCGGGCAAUCCAAGGCGAAAUGUGUGUGUCAAUUUCUUCAGGAGCUCAAUGAUGCUGUUAAGGCUAAGUUUAUAGAGGAAUAUCCAGAGACUUUGAUUCAGACCAACCCUCCUUCUUUUCUCAGUUUACCUUGGUUGUGGCCACUCAGAUUCAAUGGUGAAGCUCGACAGAAUAUGUAGGGAUGUAAAUGUGCUAUUGAUCUUUGCUCGCUCUUAUGGCCUUACUAGGCUUGUCCGUAUCAGUUUGAAGGUAACAUGUUGAAGUUCGUUGUUGAAAUUUUUUUCCCUAUCUUGUUAUUCUGGAAAUUGAGGAUAAAAUUGCUAUAUUAUAUUAAAGAGAUAAUGGACACUAUGAGGGAUGACAAAAUAAACAGUUCAAUGAUAAUAGACAGGUUCCUGAUUGAUUACUUCACAGCUUAUGGUUGGUUAGCUAAAUAACAAAGUACUUAUAUUAAUGCAGUAUUGAUUUUAUAAAGUUAUAGGUAUAAGUCCUUUUCUUUGAA